AAUUUUCUUGGAUUCAUACCCAGCCUUGGAAGUGGUAUGAAAUGAAUUACUUUAUUGAAUCCAAUAUAUUUUGAUUUUCAGGAGGAUAUCUGAUUUGAAUGGAUCGAGCAUGCCUUUCCCUGCAUUGGGGGAUAUGACCAAAAUGCAGAAAUUGGUACUAAGAAAUUGCUUGAUUUCUGACAUAAUCCCACAAUAUAUUGGGACAAUGACAAAUCUGAAAUCCUUAUAACUUACCUUUAACAAUUUGACAGGAGAAAUUCCAAGCAGCUUUUCAAGACUCUCAGCGCUAGAUUAUAUGUAAGAAAAUAGACAUUCAUUACCAAAAUUUCACUGAUUCUCUUGCUAGAUACUUCAGGAAAAUGGACAAUCCUUCUGUAAUUU